rnacentral:rRNA from 1 species
UACGGGGGGGGCAAGCGUUGUUCGGAAUUACUGGGCGUAAAGGGCGCGUAGGCGGUGCUCUAAGUCGGAUGUGAAAACUCUGGGCUCAACCCAGAGCCUGCAUCCGAAACUGGAGUGCUAGAGUUCUGGAGGGGGUAGCGGAAUUCCUGGUGUAGCGGUGAAAUGCGUAGAUAUCAGGAGGAACACCGAUGGCGAAGGCAGCUCGCUGGGACGGUACUGACGCUGAGGCGCGAAAGCGUGGGGAGCAAACAGG